CCAACUCCGACGGCUCACCCAUGGUCAGCCAAAAAGUCCCAUUAGCACCGUGGUAGCUGGCCUCGGAAAAGGAUCCUUUAGAAGAAAACCAUUGAACACGCAGCUUCUAGACCCUUCCCCCUCUCACAGAACUGCAAGGCUUGUCAUGCUGUUAAAAACCCUGGGUUAAUGCCUUGGUCAUUCCCUCUUCAAGAUGUGCCACGCGAAGCGGAUCCAUUCACCAAUGCCUGUGUUCUGUGACCAGAAAGAGGCUCUUGAGUCAAAUGGAUGCCUGAGGUCAGUGCUGAAACACAAAAGAGAUUAAGGGGACACAGAGAGGUCAGGGCAAGCCUG
rnacentral:lncRNA from 1 species